ensembl:lncRNA
CACAGUAAAGAUCUUUUUCACUUGCUGAGGGAGAUGAAACACCUUCAAGAAAGAAAGAUUUUAUUGUAUAUCCCUUUUCCUCGAGGUUGAAGAUACCCCUGUACACACUAAGAUUUUUGUGACAGAAAUGAGAUCGCAACAUUUUGGUGUGUUGAGAACACUACUCCCCAAAUGCAAAUAACCUGGAAGUAGAUUUGGUAAGUAUGAGAAGGACAAAAGCCCAACUGAAAGUCGAUUGUGUCAUUUUUACCAUUCUUUUAAAUUUAUGCUAAAACAGCAAUUUUUUUUCUUAUUUCUGGGGGUAUUCAAUAAACUUUUCGGCUUCCUUAUAUUCACACUCAUUAAGCCAAUUAUAGAGCAAUUCUGUAAUAUUUAGUCUCCUACAGACAUCAUAUUCUAGUCCUGGGAAAGUACAUGACUUUGCUCUGCAUUCUUAGGAAAGCCUUCCAGGAAUCUUAAUUUUACGUCUUACAAAUAUAUUUUUCUGUUGCUUGAUAUUUCCUUUCAAACUUGCCUUUUUGAAAGGAUUAUGAGAUAGACAGAAAAAGUAAAUUUAAGAAUUGUAGAGUAUAAAAGAGAGGUUUUUCUGCCUCAUCAAAAUCAUACAGAAUUCCAGAAGACAACCACUUCUGUAACGAUCUUUAUUUCAGUUAGUUCUCAGGUAUCUUCGCCUAGACAUUUUUGAUGUAUGCAGAAAAAUCUGCAUGCUACAAGAUGAGUUGUGUUAUGUCAAUAAUUAAGUAGUUUUUUGCUAUGUAUUUGAAAAAAAAAUAUUAGACUUAUUUCCAUUUGUGAACCCUAGCUUAGAGUGUGCAGAAACAAUAUUUGUUUACAGCAAGGAAAUAAAAACAAAGAACAAAACAAAAGCUAUGGAUUUUGUUGUGAGAUGACCAACAUGCUAUAACUUGUUUUGCUUAUUUUUUAAUUAGUUUUUGAUCUUUACCUGUAACAUUUUUUUUAAGUAGGUGACAUCAUUCCCAGCUUAAGCUUCCCUUUUUCUCUCUUUUCUCUCUUUUGUUUUUAAACUAUUGUGUGUCUAUUUAAUUCCAGUAAAAAAGGCACUUAAUGUAGGCUAUAUUUAGUCCAAUAAACUAAUGAUGGAUUUGGCUACAGCUCUCUGGAGCUGUUUCUAUUAAUUUCCUAAUAAAUUAUGAUAUCUGAUAGGCUCUUAAACUUUUGCCUGCUUAAUUAGUUGUCAGACAGUAAGAGAUGCCACUCAUUGUUUUCAUAUUAGUGAGAGAUAAAACACUGAAGUAAACUGUGGAUUAAUUAGAAUUACCUUCCUGGGAAUAGUUUUUUGCACACCAUUCUAAGGUAGGGAAAAUGGAUUUGAACACAGCUCUUGUGACAAGACACCCUAAUAGUAACACAGCCUGGGACAAACCUUAAUUGCUUUUUCAUUAUUUAUUUGAUAUGAUGCAGGAUCCUGGAUUAGCACCUGAAAGCAUACAUAACAAGACACCCUUUAAAAAUUAUUUAUUUUUUCAUUCUAUUGGUGCAGUAUCACAGAAUUGCUGAAUUGGCUGAACAAUUAACAGAUUUUACUUGAAAUUUAUGUAUAAGUAUGCAUGUUUUCUUUUCUUUUCUCUUUUUCUUUUCUUUCUUUUCUUUUCUUUAAUAUACGCACCAAUUACUUUAUUUCAUGUUUUUCUGUAUAGAAGCUAUUGCACACACACUACUUGCUAAAUUAAUCAAUACAACACCUUUUAGCCUAUUUCAUGUAGUUAAAACCUGUGCCGCCCCUGAAGAUCUUAAUAGCUCUCCCUAGAAUGUUUUCCAGCCUUAUCAUUCCUAAAUAAUAGAUUUUCAGAACUGUGUAGUAUUCCAGGGCUUUCUACAACUUUUUCACUUCUGUUAAUGAUCUUGUUAUGGAAAACCAUAACCAAGAAAACUCCCUAAACCAAAUGAUAGUGUAGAAAGUCAACAGUGCUUUACUACAUUACUAGGUGAAUGAGAAUUUCUUCACAAAGUAUGCACACACCAGAGCUAAAUCAGCCCCCUUAUAUAUUUUUAACAUAUGAAUAAUCAUGCAAUUUCAGUGAAGUUCCCACCUGUAUGGGAAUUGCUAAGUCACGGCCUGAAACAAUGAUUGAGCACAUCAUGAUAGCCACAGGAUUAUGGCUGUCACCCUUUUUUUGGGUUGUUUAAAACUUGUUAUCUGCUAUUGCCUUUCCCUACACCACCUAUUCUCAGAAUCAUCACGCAUACUAAAUCUAACAUUGCACCUACACUCCUGUUCAGUGAAGGGGUUCUUGCAAAGGGUCUUUGUUGGCGUAUAAUCAAAAAAUAUACAGAGUGGUGUGGUUAUAAGGAUCUUGUUUUUAAUCUAUGGGUACUACCUAAGUUGUUUAAAUCUUUAGUAUCCGUUUGCUGACCUAACACUUCCUUCCCUCUGUUUAAAAAUACUGUAUCCAGGGUAUCCUAAGGUUUUGCUGUAGUAGAUGUCUGAGGUUAGCCUGUAAAGGCGUCAUAUUUAAUCACAACUUACAUUGCACGUAUUUUCAAACUUAAGCAGUUCUUCCAUGACACUCUUCUAGUACCGUGACACCUAAAGAUGCAUUUUCACAUAUUUUUCUAAACUUCGCUUUUGAAUAUAAGGUCUUAAACUAAUUUUGAAGAAAACUCAUUGUUUGUAUCAAUGGUCUAAUGUAUUUCUCUUUUACUUUGUGGUCUUCUGUUCUGCAAGUUUACCGCAAGUAUUUAGUUUGUUUGUUUUUACUGGCUUGACACCCCAAAAGUUCUACAAGUGCUAUGCAGCCAAUGCUAUGCUGCAAACAGUGCAAGUGACUGACUCAUUUGUCUGUUGACAAGAUUACUACACUGACGGAUCAGUCAGGUGGUCUUUGUAGCAAGCUGCAUGUUGCAUUAGAGGCCUUCACAAUUGUAUUUACAGUACAGAAAUGAUUUGCAGGCUUUGUGCCUUAUCAUGGAUUGUUUGCUUAAAUUUAAAAUGGAGUUUAUCUUGACUGCUUGUUCAAGGUCUGUGGCUGGGAGAUGAGUGGCUUACACUCAUCAGUGAAGGAUCUGGAAGGACUAUUAGCAGAACAAUGCCUCAGAGGAAGCCUUAAUUAAAGAACAGUAUGUUGAGAGAUUGUCUAUACUCUACUUACAAAAAACUUCACAAUUUUCUAUGACAAUGUUUCUACGCAUUGUAGGAAUGGUUAAAGGUUUGAGGACCCAGAGAAAUUACUGAUAAUAUGAAGUCAUAUAUUAAAAGUAUUUAUUUGAAUCAUUUAUAAUAUUUUGUUCUUGCUGGUGUUUGGAAUAUCUUUAUUUGAAGAGAGGUUUGAAGGGCAGUGUUUUAAAAACAACGUGCUGGUAAUGGUUAUAGUUCUGCAAACACUGACACAAGAAACUUCAUUGUAAUUUUAUGAUCUUCUAAUAUACAUGUAUGUCAAUAUCUGUUUAUAUAUGUAUAGAUUGUGAAAAAAAAAUGGCUUAUGUAAUUAAAUACAAGCAAGAGGACUGUCUUGUCUAGGUUUCUAAAAGUGGAGUGAAAAAAAAAGUGUAGAAAGAGAUUUGGGAUGAGGAAUGUUUUCUCAGGGAUGUUAAAUGCUUUUUGAUCCUGGACUCCCUGUAGCUGUGAUAUAGGUUUGUUUGUUUAACAACUGGAAUCCUUAUAUUACUUGAAGGAUCAAUAUAUUAGUUUAGUAGAAGGAACUAAUGAGUACUAGUUCUAAAACUUUCCGUUUCAACUUUGCUUGGCAUAUGAACAGCCUUGUUUCCUCAAUGAUUCUGACUCACAAAAAACACUGGAGUCAUAAUAGACUACUUUUGUCUUUUUGCACCCACCAGAUGCAAGGACAUCUUCCUCAUAUUUCACCUGUAUUAUUUUUGAAGUUGUUUAAUAUGGUCUAACUGUAAGAGAUUAUUCUUUUAUAUAAUUGAUUCAAAGUUUGCUGAGGAACAAGUCCAGGCAAGUCCUGGGCAAAAGUAGAGAAAUUUCUGUCUGGAGGACACUGAUGGACAGGUCCUGGCUAAGGGUUGUGAAAUCCUUUAAGGAGCACAGGUGGACAAGUCCAGGGGCAACAACAGAAGGAUAAGCUGCUGAUAAUGGCCGAGAAAGGGUCUUUUGUGCGGACUUAUCUCGAGGAAGAUGGCCAUCUCAGGAGGUAUGCACAUGACUCUUGCUCAAGCACCCAGGGAUGUCGCAUAGGCAGGAAAAAAGGAGGAUAAAAGAGGGUCCAACAACCAUGAGGAGAGGUUUCUGCUAUCAGAUCCCUCACUGCGAAAGUCCUGAAUGCUGACGGACACAAGGUUUCUGCCAUCAGAUCCCUCACUACAGAAGGCCUGUAUGCUGAUGGACUCGAGGUGUCUGCCAUCAGAUCCCUCACUACGGACUGCAUGCUGACGGACUUUCCUGGGCCUGAUACCUGAGACCUGCUGCUUCCUCCUGGACUUACUCUGUGGCUUCUUCCUGGAACCACCCAGUACCUGCACGCUCUCAUUGCCCAAGACCAGCCUCACUGCUCCUGCCCUUCGGCCUCAGACCAUCGGAACAGAGUGCAAUGGGUCUACUGCUGGAUCCUGGUGGUGACUAUCCCUGCUUCACGCAAUUCUUGCUUCUUCUUAUCUUUUCUAUCACUCGCCUUCUCUUCCCCAUCACCCCAAUCUGUAAUAGUGUCCGUCCUCCCCUUUCUUCAUCUCCCUUAUUAACAUUUGUAAUAAACUGGUCAGACCAACAUUUGAACCGUUGUUUCUUAAUCUCACGCCAGGUACACAUACAUCAAAGAACCUCCUCUCCCUCCUAUAAAUUGGAGACACCAACAAGCAAUGGAAGUUUGCUAAAUUGAGCAGAAAACAGCUAAAGAUCAGCCAAAAUUAUUUUUGAUAAAGCUGAUGGUGGUGAAAUGGGGAUAAAAUAAGUCGCUGAAGGCCACUAUCAUGCGUGCCCAGAGGGACAUUAGCAUAUAUUGAUGAAUUCUUGGAAAGGAAUCAAUAUGCAUAGCAAUGUACAGCAUAUAUAUGUCUUAAAUGCUUAAAUGUAGAGCCUGAACUCUAAGAGAGCAUGCUUGUUUUGUCAAGUUUUCGGGUACAUAUCAGGAGGUAUAAAGGAAAACCACUUUCUAGCACCACAUUAGAGUUAGAGGGCUUUCUUCCUGGAUUUUGGAUGACAGUUGGAUUUGAAAAUAAUGUGCGUGUUGCAAUUGUGUGUACUGAAUUGAUAAUUUAACAAAUAAUUACAUUUUUAACUUUUGUUUUGUCUUUGAACAAAAGUUUAUUCCCUCCUUCUGCUUAUGUAGAAAUGUAAACUAUUUCUAAACAUGUUUUAGAGACAACUCCUAGAAAGCUUAAUAGCCCUG